rnacentral:lncRNA from 1 species
UAGGAUCAUUCCCUUUUGAGGAGCAAUAUAAAGACAUGAACUUAAAAUAGACAUGGCAUUGGCUCUUAUCUCAUGCUCGCUCACCCUUUGACAACCAGAAACCAGGGCGACUUAAAAACCUAGCACUCACUACUCUUCAGUUGCCGUAAUUUUAUUAGUCUGGUCACAUGACAGUGACAGGUGUGAGACACAACCUGGUAUCCAGGUGAAACUUAUGAAAACAGCUUCAUAGCUAAUGACACUGUCAAACCACAGAACCCCUGCCUUUACGCCCAAUAUUAAAACACUUCUACAUCCAAAAACCAAGGGGAGAAACAGAGGUACAGUGUUCAGAACUGAACAGCAAGUUAUAAAACUUCAAACACAAGACAAUAUAUUGAAAACCUAGUGGCACCAAAUCUGCGAUGCUGUUUAUUACUUGGUGAACCUCUCCUUUUAACAUCUGGGUCACCACUAACUAUCUAGGAUUACCAGACAACACUGCUUCCCACCCAUGUUUAAAGUACUACUAAGUACUACCUAAAACAUCACCCAUGCUGGGAAGUGGACCCAGUGACUAAGUACCCGGUUCAGCGGUCGCCAGCAGUAUUUCACUUUGGGUGGUAGCUGGUCUCUAGCAUGGGAGUUGUAGAACAAGGCAGUUCGGCUGCAACGACCGAGAUUUUCACCGCCCAACACCAAAGUUUGCCAAGGCGCCGGUGAACGCACAGAUCCAUGGCAGCCCUAGCCCAGUGGCAGUGAGUCACAGAGGACACACAUUUUAUGUUUCAUAAUGAAAGCGUGGACAACCUGGAGCUGGGCAGCUUCUGCAGUGCAUCAGCUGAACUGCUCUGUAGGAGGGAGAUUAUACACAACACGGAUAUUGUGGCUGAUUGUCCCAGAUUUAUGUGUCCCCUAUCACAGUCUCUUCCAGCCCUUCUUCCUAAUUUUCAGGUGAGUGCAAAACAUUUCCAGAAAAAUCAUGCAUGUUAAACGGAAUAUAUCAUCAGUGGUCACUCAAAAAUCUUCUCCUGUGUGACCAGCUGACACUUGCUAAGGUUGUGUGAGAAUGCAAAUGAAGAAGCAGCCCUGCCUUAAGCUCAGGUGUUUCACAAAGCAGAUUGAUAGAUUCAAUUGGAUGUGAAUCCGGUUUAUGAUGUCAAUAUUUUCAACUUCACAGAGAGGAGAGCACAAUAAAGAAGGAGGUGGGUGUUCA